UACGGAGGGUGCGAGCGUUGUCCGGAAUCACUGGGCGUAAAGGGCGCGUAGGCGGUCCGGUAAGCGUGUUGUGAAAGCCCGGGGCUCAGCCCCGGGUCUGCCGUGCGAACUGCCGGACUCGAGCACUGUAGAGGCAGGUGGAAUUCCGAGUGUAGCGGUGGAAUGCGUAGAGAUUCGGAGGAACACCGGUGGCGAAGGCGGCCUGCUGGGCAGUGUCUGACGCUGAGGCGCGACAGCGUGGGGAGCAAACAGG
rnacentral:rRNA from 1 species